UACGGGGGGGGGCAAGCGUUGUUUCGGAAUUACUGGGCGUAAAGCGUGCGCAGGCGGCGCCGCAAGUCAGGCGUGAAAUCCCCGAGCUUAACUUGGGAAUGGCGCUUGAAACUACGGUGCUGGAGUGUGGCAGAGGGAGGUGGAAUUCCACGUGUAGCGGUGAAAUGCGUAGAGAUGUGGAGGAACACCGAUGGCGAAGGCAGCCUCCGUGGGCCAACACUGACGCUCAUGCACGAAAGCGUGGGGAGCAAACAGG
rnacentral:rRNA from 1 species